rnacentral:rRNA from 1 species
CCAAUAGCGUAUAUUAAAGUUGUUGCAGUUAAAAAGCUCGUAGUUGAAUUUCGGGAUCAAUUUAUUGGUCGUGCUAUUGUACGUACUGGUUUUAUUGGUUCCUCCCUUCUGACGAACCAUAAUGUCAUUAAUUUGGUGUUAUGGGGAAUCAGGACUGUUACUUUGAAAAAAUUAGAGUGUUUAAAGCAGGCUCACGCUUGAAUACAUUAGCAUGGAAUAAUGAAAUAGGACGUUUGAUUCUAUUUUGUUGGUUUCUAGGAUCGACGUAAUUAUUAAUAGGGAUAGUUGGGGGCAUUAGUACUCAAUUGUCAGAGGUGAAAUUCUUGGAUUUAUUGAAGACUAACUACUGCGAAAGCAUUUGCCAAGGAUGUUUUCAUUAAUCAAGAACGAAAGUUAGGGGAUCGACGACGAUCAGAUACCGUCGUAGUCUUACCCAUACACUAUGCCGACUAGGGGUAGGAUGAUGUUAAUUUUUUAAUGACUCAUUCGGCGCCUUACG